rnacentral:rRNA from 1 species
UAGGGAAUCUUCGGCAAUGGGGGCAACCCUGACCGAGCAACGCCGCGUGAGUGAAGAAGGUUUUUGGAUCGUAAAGCUCUGUUGUAAGAGAAGAACGUGUGUGGGAGUGGAAAGUUCACACAGUGACGGUAACUUACCAGAAAGGGACGGCUAACUACGUGCCAA